CAGGGCGCAGGCGCACAGCCGCGUUGAGUACUACAGCUCCCGGCAGGCUCCACGCCGCCCGCCGCUUUUAGAGCCCACUAGGAUGCUGACGUGGGGGAUGGCUGGGACUCUUCUAGUCUUCCACCUAGUUUCAAGCUGCAUUGGAAGAGCUCCUAUUUCCGGUCUUAUAGCUUUAUGGUCCUAGGGGAUUGGGUGGGACGAGCCCCGAGUAGUGAGUCAAGUAAGAGCUACUUCCCAACAGCUUUAGAUUAAUUGAUGCAGGUGGGGGAAAAACUUUGUUUAAAACAGCCCCUACCCACUCAGUGAUUCCCUCGGGGAGGAGGUGGUUCUUGAGAAGGCAUUUUUUAAAACUCAGAUUUCAGGGUCCCUAACGACACCCUGGAGAGCAAAAGAGCUUAGAGCCAUUUUAAUAAUAAAAAAAAAAAAUUUGGGGGGGGGGAUUCUGACUGAUCUGUGUUGUCUGUGUGCCACAGUGACCUUGAAUAUACAUCUUAGUUUUUUUUUUCCUCUUGUAAGCUUAGAGCUUCCAUCUAGGGAACCCUCCUAUUCCUCUCCACCUUCAACAGCCCCCAGUGGUCUCUGAAGUUUGAAGAUUAGCCUUCUGGCAUUAUUUCAAGUCUUCCAAUUGGUUCCCUGCUUUUCCUGCCCUUGAAAGCAAACUUUCCCUUCUCCUUUGUCAGUGAGUUGUAGUGAGACUUGGUCCAAGGGCCACUAAAUACAAUAGUGCUGAUUGGGAAAAAAUGCUCAUUUUUGGUCCGAGGCUGGGGCUAUUGGUCUGUGUGUGCCAGAAUUUUAGCCCUAGGACUUUGUUUCUGCCUGAGAACCUGUAUCUAGACCUGAGUGUGUCCAAGAUAGCAAGGAAAAAAGCUGCUUGUUCUUGUUCCUCCUUGAUGAUCCGGUGGAAGCAAGACAGACAUGGGAGGAGCGGUGUUGUUGGCAGGCACUGAAGACAGCUUCAUCCAAGCCAAAGUUGUUCUCAUUAGCUGAGGCCUGGAGCCCCUGACUCUCAAGUCCUGCAAAGCCACUGUUACUCUUACCAGGGCCCUAGUCAUCUUUGAAGGAAGAGUAGCUCAUCUCAACCAAGGUGUUAUGGGAGCCUGAUGAUUCUUUGGGUCUGAGAGUCAAAUGAAAUUGCACAAAGGCAGGACCUAUCCCCAGGGAACCCAUCUCCAUCCUAGAGGCUGCCCACCUAUGCUUUUGAGAAUUCGAAGGAACUACAAUAAUAAUAAUUUUUUAAAAAGUGUGAUUUGUUUAGAGAGAUCUUGGAAGCCUUGGAGAAUGUGUUGAGGGAAGAUUUCUCUGCUUCAAAGUUGGCCCCAAGAUUCCAGGUCAGAGUCCAGGAGGGGACCUGACUGCAAAAGCUGACUCAAGGACCCUGGAACCAGAAGAUCCUCUUGUGUCGGCCUCCUAAAUUGUAGGAUUACAGAUUCUCCGGAUUACUCUAAGAAGACCUGUCUCUAGCUGUGGUGCUUUAAUAGCCUACUCAAGAAGAUUCCUCCCCACAUCUCAAGUGUAGUAAAUAGUGUGGUAUUGUUUUUGGCUUCCGCAGGAAGUCAGGGUUAUUUCAAUAAAAAUACCAGCUGUGCCCUUAGAU